rnacentral:other from 1 species
UUAUCCCUGCAGUGUUUGUGAUGUUUCGGGUAAUAUUGAGAUAACAGUUUGAAACUUGGGGAUCUUUAAGUUUAUAUCUGUAGUGUUGAACCCUUUGUAAGGGAUUACUGAACAGAUAGACGGAUACCCACCUGAGGUUUAGGUUUCAAAUUUCCGAACACACGGCACACGCGGGGAUUUC